rnacentral:rRNA from 1 species
AUUGAACGCUGGCGGCAUGCCUUACACAUGCAAGUCGAACGGUAACAGGUCUUCGGAUGCUGACGAGUGGCGAACGGGUGAGUAAUACAUCGGAACGUGCCUAGUAGUGGGGGAUAACUACUCGAAAGAGUGGCUAAUACCGCAUGAGAUCUACGGAUGAAAGCAGGGGAUCGCAAGACCUUGUGCUAAUAAAGCGGACGAUGGCAGAUAAGGUAGUUGGUGGGAUAAAAGCUUACCAAGCCGACGAUCUGUAGCUGGUCUGAGAGGACGAUCAGCCACACUGGGACUGAGACACGGCCCAGACUCCUACGGGAGGCAGCAGUGGGGAAUUUUGGACAAUGGGCGAAAGCCUGAUCCAGCAAUGCCGCGUGCAGGAUGAAGGCCUUCGGGUUGUAAACUGCUUUUGUACGGAACGAAAAGCCCCGGGUUAAUACCCUGGGGUCAUGACGGUACCGUAAGAAUAAGCACCGGCUAACUACGUGCCAGCCGCCGCCGUAA